UGAGGAAUAUUGGUCAAUGGACGAGAGUCUGAACCAGCCAAGUAGCGUGCAGGAUGACGGCCCUAUGGGUUGUAAACUGCUUUUGUUUGGGAAUAAUCGACAUUACGUGUAAUGUUUUGCAUGUACCAUUCGAAUAAGGACCGGCUAAUUCCGUGCCAGCAGCCGCGGUAAUACGGAAGGUCCAGGCGUUAUCCGGAUUUAUUGGGUUUAAAGGGAGUGUAGGCGGUUGGUUAAGCGUGUUGUGAAAUGUAGAUGCUCAACAUCUGACUUGCAGCGCGAACUGGCUGACUUGAGUACACACAACGUAGGCGGAAUUCAUGGUGUAGCGGUGAAAUGCUUAGAUAUCAUGAAGAACUCCGAUUGCGAAGGCAGCUUGCUGCAGUGCGACUGACGCUGAUGCUCGAAGGUGCGGGUAUCAAACAGG
rnacentral:rRNA from 1 species